ACAUAUGUGUAUGUGCACGUGUGCAUGUGCGUGUGUGUGCAUAUGUGUGUGUAGGGGGAGGGAGGCUGGGCUGGGAUAAAGACCCAGGAGCACGGGAGAGGGGCAGAGGAAAGGGGUGGCUUCCAGGGACGGGGGCAGUUGGAGCCUGAUUCUGGGGCCCAACCUGGGGGGGAUAAGAGGCCUAAUCACUAUCCUCAAAGGUGUUUAAAAAAUCAUUUAUUUCUAGAAGAGUCCUUCAUCAUUUCCGUCUAGGACAUGGAGGCCAAGGCGCGAUGGUGUGGGUGGCUGUGGCCUGACCUGUGCCUUUGGCCUCAUGCUGAGGUGGCAGGGGACGAGGAGCCAGGUGGCCCGGUGUCCAUGCCUACGCUGGGGAGUGACUCGGUGCCCUGUGGGAGGGGCCAGGUUCUUGCCCGUCUCGGGGGUUUGGCCGUGUCCCCCACGUGCUGAAGACGAAUCCAGUGCCCGGAGGAGGGGGCUCGAGAGGGGAUGGGGCAGGAGGGCCGUGCCCUCCGGACAGUCCUGCCCCAUCUCGGGGCUGGGCUCGUCCUGGAGAGGGGGUUGUUACGACAGCGCGUGUGGCCGUUCCUGGCUCUCUUGCCUUGUGGUGCUUUGGCCACGUUAUGACACAGCCAGACGGCCCUGCCUCGGUGGGCCUCUCGACCUUGCACUUCUCAGCCUCCAGGACCGUGAGAAAUAAAUCUGUGUCUUCAUCAGCCACCCAGUCCGUGGCGUUCUGUUACAGCAGCACACGGACUGACACGCCCAUUGCGUGGAGGAAGAAAGGGCCCGGGAACAAGCAGCGUUGUCCAGGUCUCCUGGAUUUGGCCAUGGCGGAGCUGGGAUUCGAACCCAGGCUUUGUGGCUUGCGACCACUCACAGGCCCAGCCCUGCCUGCUGGGGACCUUGGGGCCAGGAUGGUGGCCAAAGCCAGAUAUCUUGGCACACUGGGGCUCUAGCUACCUGGAAAGGAGCUGACCUGGGGUUGAAUCAGAACCAGAGGUGACUCAGGCCGGGACCCCUGUGUGCUCCCCCCCAGGCUGGGGGUAAUUACCUGCCCGCGUUCACAGCGCCCACUUCCCUCCACCUUUCAUCAAGGCUCCGGAGCUGCCAGGCAGUAAUUAACCUCCACAGCACCCCUCUGAAGUCGGCACCGAAGGCAGACAUGUUAUUAAACCUAUUUUUACAGGAAGCAGGGCCGGCCCGGGUGCCCCUGACCCUUGGGGCCGAGCUGCAGGCUGGAGACCUGGAAUGCCCUGGCGCCCCUGCUCCGGCCUGCUCACCUUGCAGAAGCAGAGGAGCAUACGGGAAGGGCUGGGAUCUGGCUCUGCUGUGUGACUCUGGGGAAGUCACUGCCCUGCUCUGGGCCUCGGUUUCUUUCUCAGCAAUGUGGGAAUGAUCAUACCCACCUUGUGGGUUUGUCCUGAGUCUACCUCUGAUCCACCUCGUUUCCCUGUCCUCACUCCAGCUACACUGGCCUCCUCACUGUUCCUUGAACACGCCAAGCCUCUUCCCACCACAGGGCCUUUGCACCUGCAGUGCCAUCUGCCUGGAAUGCCCUUCCCUCCGAUCUCCCCGGGGCUGGCUCCUUCUCACCUUUCUGGGCUCAGAUGUCACCUCCUCUACCUAGAGAGCAUCUCUGCCACCCCAUCACCUGUUUUGUUCUUCUUGAGCACUUCUGGAGCUCCGAGUUCAGCUACUAACCGGCCGUGUGACCCUGGAACUGCUUUUCACCUCCCUGGUCUCCCAUUCCCCUUUGCAGACAAAGGGUGGACCGAGUUUCUUGAAGGACUUGGGUAGCUUUGAGUCCCCAGGGUCCCAGCCUCACUUCCUCCCCGGGCAAGGGGCAGCUGGGGGGACCAGCCCCCGGGCAGACACCCUCUCUCCUGCCGCCCGUCCCUUCCCCGUCACCUUGGGUUGUGGGCUCGCUGCGGGCAGAUCUCCACAACCAGCCACCCCUUCCCUGGCAUGCCUGCCAGCACCCUUGGGGGAAAGAAUUUGGAACGGGAGGAAGAACAAGAAAAGAGAGCGGGGUGCGAGGGGACGGCUCCCACACCUGUGUAAAUAACUUGUCAUCUUAAAGCGCUCAGGUAUGCUCACCUUUAGUGCCCGGUUCUCGGGCUUGUUUUCCUUGGCAGGGCCCCCACGGGAGUGGAAUUUCGGCCGAAAGGAGCCCAAUUGUCAUCUCCUAAGCACGUUCCCAGGCGGGGGGCUGGGGAGGGCUCUGGCUGACGCUCCACUUCCGUCCCCAGAAGUACCAGAACGUUCCUGGGAUUGAGGGAGCAGCCUCCAGCUCUGGAAGCCGUCCCAGAAUUCUGGAAUGUUGGAAUUCAAACGGCCUCCUGCCCAUUUUCCGGAGGAGGAACAUGAGGACCAGAGAGGGGAAGGGGUUGGCCUGGGGUCACCUAACGUGCUGGGAUGAGGUGGAGUUUGCCAGGGGAGCGGUGGGAUUCGCGGGCAGGUCGGUGUUUGUCUCCCAUUUCCAGGUAAUAGCGGCUCAGUUUCCCACUGAAGAACCUCCUCUUCCCUCAUCUCAGGCUGUGAGGUCGGGAUGCCCGGGACCCCUGGCUCCAGGGGUGGACACGUGACCGGAUCUUGUUCCAGUGAUUGGUCCAGGAACGGGCAUGUGACUAAGCCUGCCCAAUGACACUCGACCCUGGGACUUUAGUGCGGGGAAUUCUCCCCUUUGCAUUGCGAGUGAGCGAGUGAGAGCGCAGAGUGAAAGAGGGCAAAGCCAGGGAAGAGCCCGAGAAAGAUCUGCACGGAGCUGGGCAGCCUUCGAACUCCUGGGUCCAGCCAUACCUGGAGUUAGGCGCCCUUGACAUUCUAGUUCCAUGACCCCACUACAUUUCCCAUGUUUGGCUGAACACAGUUUGGACUGGCUUUCUGUGCAACACCUCUGUGCAGAAGGUGUUGACGGACCCGUGAUGGGGGGAAGAGAAGAGAAGAGAUUGCAGGCAGAGAAAAUAGCAUGCAUAGAGACCCCAAAGCGAGUGCCAUGGGGGCAUUGAUGUAAGGAGGAGGAGGAGGAGGACCCCCAACCCGAGGUCGGUCAGGAGGGAGAAAGGAGCAUCUCCAGCAGCGGGGAGGACCCGUGUGACGGCUUGCAGAGGUGGCUGUCAGUGGAGGCUGGCCGAGGGGCACAGACACGGGGGCACGGGGAAAUCCGGCUACUCCCAACCCGCUCCAGCCAAGCAGGGCUCCCCUGGUUUGGGAGCCCAGACUUCACUCCUCUGCACCCUUCCCCGGCGCAGCGCUGCCGGCCUGUCUCACACGCCAGCGCCUGCGAAUUUGGUCACGUGCACCACGGGGGCAGGGACGCAGCAGAAAGUCACCUGGGGUCGCGUAGCCAGAGUUCUCCCCUCUGCAAAUCUUUUCCUGUUCUCCCUUUGCACCGGGGAGAGUCUCUGUUUGGUGCCAACUCGUCUCUAAGACCGAAUACUCAAUAAUGCCCCUUUGUGAAAAAGGAAGCAGGCCUCGGGCCCGCGCCUUGGGCACGCAGUGUGUCCAGCUAGACUCGGUGACCUGUGGCACUGAGCUGCUGCAACCCACACGAACGAGGCGCUCAGCCUCAUGACCUUUCAUAGCUGUGUCAUGGGCGCCCCAGUGACAGACAGAACGUCCUCACCCCCACAGCGCCCUCUCUGCACCCUUCCUGUAAAUUUGCCUUUUCCAGCGUGCGGCGUAAGCGGGACCCUACCACGUGUUGCCUUUCGAGUCUGGCUCUGUUUUCCCGCUCAGCACGCUGUUUUGAGAACACUCCAGCGGUCGAGGGUAUCGGUGGGUUGCUCUUUUCUACUGCAGAGUAGUGUUCCAUUGUGCGCACGCACCAUUCACAGGGUGGGGGAUAUUUGGGUUGUUCCCAGUUUUUACCGAUUUCGAACAAAGCCACCAGAAACACUUGCAAACAGGUUUUUGCACGAGCGUCAAUCCUUGUUUAUGUUGGGUAAAUCUCUAGGAGUGGACUCGCUGGGUCACGUGGCUGGGUGUGUGUUUCACUUUAUCAGAAGCCGCCGAACUGCUCUGCAAGUGCCUGUAUCAUUUUCCCAUCAAGUAGUUGCACAAUGGCAUCUCAUUGUGGCUUUCAUGUGUGUUGCCCAGUGACGAACGAUGCCGCGCUUCCUUUUACUUGCUUGUUUGCCGUCUGUGCAUUUUCUUUGGUGUAGUGUCUGCUCAAACUUUAUGUCCAUUAAAAAAAAAUCCAAUUGCUUUCUUAUACAUGGGUUUGGAGAAUUCUUUAUAUAUUCCGGGUUAUCGUCAGCCCUUUGUCGAAUAUGUGAUUUACAAAUAUUUUCUCCCAGUCUGUGGCUUGUCAUUUUAUUCUCUCAACCGGUACACUUUAAUGACAUUGUUUUGUUGUCAUUGUAAUUACUUUUUGGUUAUCUUUGACUUGUGGCAUGUGCUCUUGGGUUUUUCAAUUCUAGUGAUAACACUAAAUGUUUCCUUUUCAGAAUAAAUCUAUUUAAGUUAGAAAGUAAGUCAAUUUGAAGAAAAACAUUAAAUAAGUAAUAGUAGAAGUGGAAAACUAACAGCACAAAAAUGGUGAAGGCAGUCACUUGACUAGACAGAGUGUGGGCAACUCCGAUUUGUUCAUCCACCAAUAUUGACUGCGUACCCACUGUGGGCCAGGCUCUGUGCUAGAUGCCAGGGACGCAGCAACGACCGAGACAGUUUCUGCUGUUUUAGUGAUGGUUUCUUUCCAGUGAGCUCCUCUUCAUCCUUCAAAAGCCAAUUCAGGUGACACUAGAUUGCAACUUUCUGUUUCUGUGAAUAUCUUUCUGGGCAGGGACAUGUCUGGCAGCUUCUGGUAGGGUUGCUGAGAGCCUGGUGCAGAGAUCCUCAAUAAAUAGCAUCUCACGGAGUAGAAACUGUUAUGAGAUGUUGAAGAUGGGUUUGCUGAUUCGCUUGGCUGAAAUCAGCCAGGUCAGCCCUGGUGCAGUGGCCCGAGGUCCCCCCCUGCUGCAGCGGGCUGGUCCAUCAAGCCAGGGUCUCUCCCCUUGGCUGCCCCUCCCACAAAGACACCGGGAGAAAGAGCCUCCCAAACCCAAGGCCUUCAGUCCUCCUCUUUGCUUCCCACCCAGCACCCAUGGGUGCCUUCCCUGGGCAGGUUGUUGUUCACGUGAAACACCUGCCUGGCAUCCCUCCGCUCUGACCUGCCCCAGGACCACUUUGCCGUGACCUCCCACCGCUUCCCCUGUUCCGCCCCUCCAGCCAGUCGGCUUUGGCGCCUCCAAACACCGGGCUCAUUCCCACCCCUGGAGCUCUGCGCAGGCCCUUCCCUUGUGGGCGUUCAGUCCUGAGCUGAAAUGACCCUCCUCAGAGCCCUCCACGCCAAGCUAUCCAAGCCCUCUGCCCACAUCUAUUUCUUUUUAUCUCAUCAUUCUGUUUAUUUUCUUUAUUGCACAGAAUACCCUCAUUCUGGAGUUUGUGUAUUAACUGGAUUCUGUGUCCCCUACUGGAGUGUCAGCUCCAUGAGGGGUUUCAGUCUGUCCUCUGUCCUCCCAGUGCCUGGCACAGUGCCCAGCACAUAGUAGGCGCUCAACAAACAUUUGUUGAAUGAAUGAAUGAAGGAAUGAAUGCAUGCACGAGCUCACGUGCUCAGGGCAAAGUUGAGUCCUUCCGUCCACAUGGCCACAUGGCAGGCUGCUUGCCCUGUGGGCUCUUCCAGGGCGGGAACGUAUGUCUUGCUCCCUCCCCCCCACCCCCCACCCCACACCUGUGCAGGUGCUGCGUGCUGCCCACUGGACCCAGCCAGGCCUGCGUCUUGCCAGAAGCCCAGCCAGAGGGACUUUCCGUUGUCCUUGGAGGUGGCCUGCGGGAAGUCGUUCCCAGGACCUCGUGAGCCUGGGGCCACGGAUGGGGCUGGGAGUGGCUUGAGGGGCAGGGACCCAGCCUGAGACGUCACCAGCUCCUUUCUGACCUCCCGGUUAUGCCAAGGGGAGGGAGAGGCUUCACGUGGGGUUUGUGGUCUCGAACACUCUCCUACCACCUGCUCGCUCUUUGGAAGAAGCUACGCAGAUCCCAGGUGGGGCCGUGAGCAGCAAUGGUACCCGGUUUUGUUUCACUCCUUUCAUAUUCUGCUGAUGAUCUUCAGUUUGCAGCAAGCGCCUUAGAUCGGGUUUCCCUAGAAGCAGAUCCCGAAGAGAAUAAUCUGGAGGCAAGUGGCUCACAGAGCAGACGCCUCCACUGGUGGGGGCGUGAGGCCAGGCAGGGAGGGCGGCCGGUCCGGAGAGUGCUGUCGUGCAAGUCGCCACUGCGGGCAGCUGGGCUCGUCCCGCCUGGGCGCUCUGGGAGCCAGUGUAGACACGCACC